rnacentral:misc_RNA from 1 species
AUGUUUUUUAACAACAAAAUUGGGAUCUUUGUUCAUGCCAAAAAGAUAUUUGAACCUAUCCCAGUCUAUGACAUGUCCUCAUGAUAAAGAUGAAGUCCCAACCCAAAACGAGCACAAGCUCGACGAAAUGCCAUACCUUCUGCCUUCUGCACAGGAUCCCCAUAACCUGGAUCAUCUACUGAAGCAGUGCCAGUUGAUUCUCGAUAUAUCUCUGCAUCAGUCCCAUA